rnacentral:hammerhead_ribozyme from 1 species
GCACUGCUGAGGAGUCCCACAGUAGGACGAAACAGCUGUCUAAUGC